GACCAAUUUCUGCUGGCUGUACCGGAUCUUCACCAAGUCUUUGUUCGACACCCUUCCAGGAUCUUUCUUGUAGAUAUUGAGCUCCAGCCUUACCAAUGGCAACAGUACCUAGCAAAAGAAUUCCUGCAUUAAUCAUUAAAUACAUUGAAGGAUCACCAUGCUCUGGCAAGAGCUAAAGACUAGAGAGUUUCUUUUAAGUUAAAUAAACUAACCUGAUGAA